rnacentral:rRNA from 1 species
GUAGGUGGCAAGCGUCGUCCGGAUUUAUUGGGCGUAAAGGGCGCGCAGGCGGUUCGUUAAGUUCGAGGUGAAAUCUCCUGGGUUCAACUGGGAGGGGUCUUCGGAUACUGGCGGACUUGAGGAGAGCAGAGGUGAGUGGAAUUCUGGGUGUAGUGGUGAAAUGCGUAGAUAUCCAGAGGAACACCAGUGGCGAAGGCGACUCACUGGGCUCCACCUGACGCUGAGGCGCGAAAGCGUGGGGAGCGAACCGGAUUAGAUACCCGGGUAGUCCACGCCGUAAACGAUGGACACUAGGUGUGGGGGGGGUAUUGACCCCCUCUGUGCCGCAGCUAACGCAAUAAGUGUCCCGCCUGGGGAGUACGGCCGCAAGGCUA